rnacentral:rRNA from 1 species
GAAUAUUGGACAAUGGGCGAAAGCCUGAUCCAGCCAUGCCGCGUGUGUGAAGAAGGUCUUCGGAUUGUAAAGCACUUUAUGUUGGGAGGAAGGGCAGUAAGCGAAUACCUUUCUGUUUUGGCGUUACCGCAAGAAUAAGCGGCGGACAACUCCGUGCCAGCAGCCGCGGUAAUCCAGAGGGUGCAAGCGUUAAUCGGAAUUUCUGUGGGUAAAGCGCGCGUAGGGGGUUCGUUAAGUGGGAUGUGAAAUCCCCGGGCUCAACCUGGGAACUGCAUCCAAAACUGGCGAGCUAGAGUAGGGCAGAGGGUGGUGGAAUUUCCUGUGUAGCGGUGAAAUGCGUAGAUAUAGGAAGGAACACCAGUGGCGAAGGCGACCACCUGGGCUCAUACUGACACUGAGGUGCGAAAGCGUGGGGAGCAAACA